rnacentral:rRNA from 1 species
UUACAACUUUCAGCAAUGGAUCUCUUGGCUCUCGCAUCGAUGAAGAACGCAGCGAAACGCGAUAUGUAAUGUGAAUUGCAGAUCUACAGUGAAUCAUCGAAUCUUUGAACGCACCUUGCGCUCCUUGGUAUUCCGAGGAGCAUGCCUGUUUGAGUGUCA